rnacentral:lncRNA from 1 species
UUCUCCCCUGAGUUAUAUCCUCAUUGGGUUGAGUCUUGUUUCAUUGUGUCUUUCUAGUUUGUUUCUAGACUGACUGCUUUUGUUACUUCCCCUACACUUGCCCGUAGUUUAGAUGAAUGAUUGCUCAGUAACCAGUAAUUGUCCAUCUUCUCCCCCGGCGGAGUCUGUGGCCUUUUACCCAGUAGCCGGUAGUUGUAAGUCCUAUUUCUGUGGUUUUCUACCCUUAUACCGGUAGUUAUAAACCCCAUUUUAU